UUUUAUCCUUUUCAAAUUAAACCCACCCCCUACACGCUUUCUCUCUCUCUCUCUCUCUCUCUCUCUUCCACUUUCAUGAAACCCUAGUAGCCGCCUUCGCUUUCCUCACGUCUCUCAUGCCAAAAAUGGCAAAUUUGCAUACCUGGGCUGAUAUGCACAACAUUUGCAUGCUUAUUGUGGUGAAAGUGCUAAAGUUUUACACGUUUUCAUGUUCUUUCUACCCGAAUAUGAUUUGGAAGCACAGAGGAUCCCAAAUCCAUUCUUUUCUUGGCUGCGCAUUUAAAAGGUGUGGUUAACGGCGACCAGGUAGUCGGUUGUUGAUCAUUCCAGCCUUCUUAAGUCUAGUUCAGUCGAGGUGAGCCACCAUUAGAUCAUGGCGGCCUCUUCUUCGUUAGUUGACUUAGUAGUAUUCCGAGCUAUGUCUUUCUUUUGUAUUCAGACUAGUAGUUCCAUGAUUUAGACAUUUUAUGGGAUUUAUUGGCAGACUCAGUAUUUGUAGUUCGCUUUCGCACUUUUCUUUAUAUUAUGAGACAUGUAGUAUUAUUCA